ensembl:lncRNA
UUUUUUUUUUUUUUUUUUAGAAAAGGGUCUUGCUAUAUUUUCCAGACUGGUCUAUUCAUACCUGGCCUCACGUAAUUCUCCUGCCUCGGCCACCCAACGUGCUAGGAUUAUAAACGUGAGCCACUGUACUGAGUCACCAGCCUCAAAAUCUAGUGAAAUUUGCUCUGCUAGGUUCAGACCUGCAUAAGAUCCAUGACCCAUUUUUUCUUUCCAACUUCCCCUCUUUUGAACAGGAACGUCUAUCCUAUGCCUGCACCACCAUUGAAUUUUUGAAGCACAAAACUUGUCUGGUUUCAUGCUUCACAACUGAAGAAGAAUUUUGCCUCAGAAUGAGUCAUACUUCACCUCCCUCACGCUUGACUUAGAUGACAUUCAGAUGAGAUUCUGAUUUUGAGUUGAUGCUGGAAUGGGUUAAGAUUACAGGCUCUUAGGAAGGAGCAAAUGUAUUUUGCAUGUUAGAAGGUAAUUAAUUGUGGGAAGCCAGAGGGCAGAAUGUCAUGGUCUGAAUUGAGUCCCCUCCCCAAAUCCGUAUGUUGAAAUCCUAACUCCUAGCACUUCACAAUGUCAGAGUAUUGAAAUAGGAUCUUUGAAAGGUAAAAUGAGGUUGUUAGGGUGGGCCCAAUCCAAUAUGACCAGAGAGCAUCUACAAGCCAAGAAAAGAGGCCUAAGGACAAACCAACUGAGUGACUCCUUGAUCUUGGAAUUUCAGACUCCAGAAGUCUGAGAAAAUAAGUAUCUGCUGUGAAGUUACCCAGACGUAGUGCUCUGCUGUGUCCGCCGAGCAGACAAAGGCAGCAGUCCUUCAGGAGCCUGGCAUGACCACAAGAACCACUCAAACACUCUCAGCAGAUUUAGUGGAGCCUGGCCUGACCACCUCCUCAGUGAGCCCUCAACCCUACUGUGCAUGUCCAUCAGCAGAAACACAGGCCCUCACCUCUAGGCCUGGGUCCCCAGAGCCCACGCACAUGUGCAAGCCCCAGCAAGAUGCCAGUGGCCUCAGACAGUUCUCCUGGACCCUGACAUCUGUCUGUGGAGCUCUCCUUUGGGUCCCUGCCCUAUUCACUCUUGAAGUCCAUAUUCCCAGGCCCUAGAUUAAGUCAUCCAAGUGGGUUCCAUGUGCAUUUGUGGGAUGUAUCACACAGGGGAGUGACUGAAUGAGUCACUUGAGGCAUUGUCUUGAGGCAAUGACAUCAACAAGCAUUGGGAGAGCACAGAACAUAUGGGUUAGGCGGGAGGAGACAGGAAUCACUCAGGUGGCCAUAUGUGGUCUUUACCCCUGAUGGUGAGCGUGGCCGAGGUCCUCUCCUGCCCACACACACACGAGUACUCCCCAGUGUCUGCCACGGACAGGCCACGAAUCUGCAGCUCACAUCUGGUCCCAUCCUGCCUCAGGCUGUAUCUGUCCCCAUCUCUCAGGGUCUCAGACCCCUUCCUCCACUCCACGGGAUCCGCCUUGCUCAGCUCACACUGCAGCACGGCUGUGGCCCCUUCUCUAGCCUCCUGGUUUUUCACAUCUUCUAUGAAUCUGGCAGGCAGGGCUGGGAAAGACCAAGCAGUCAUUGAGAUUAUUAGACCAUCUGGAGGACUCUGUGGACAAGACAUGGACACCCACAAAGAGCCACACAAAACCAUCAAAGAACCACACGUGAAAGAGCAAACAAACGUACACAUGGGAAGGAGGCAAAUGGCCCCAGAGGAACAGAGAACACACAAGCAAAAGGAUAUGAGCAUGAGGAUACCUCCUGGAUAAGAAGGGAGGCGGGAGAUGCCCAGAGGACCCCAGUUAGAGGACAGACAACCAUGGGGUUGCCACAGAACCAUGCCACAUUCGAAGGCAGAAGGUGGUGACACAGAGAUGUGGAGACACUAAGCCAUGGUCCACAUAGCUACACACGAUCUUUACCCCUGACAGUGAGUAUGGCUGAGGUCCUCUCCUGCCCACACACACAUGAGUACUCGCCGGCAUCCACCACAGCCAGGCCACGGAUCUGCAGCUCACACCUGGACCCAUCCUGCUUCAGGCUGUGUCUGUCCCCAUCUCUGAGGCAGUCAUGCCCCUUCCUCCACUCCACCGGGGCCACCUUGCUCAGCUCACACCACAGUAUGGCCGUGGCCCCUUCUGUGGCCUCUUCAUUCCUCAGACCCUCUAUGAACUUGGAAGGCAGGGCUGAAGAGAUCAAAAGACACAGAUAUAAUCAUAUUCUCUGAGCACAUGGAAGAGAUAGGAAUGACAUGGAUGGCACAGACAAGACACAGAACCCAACCAGGCACAGGCUGCAUGGGGGUGUGCUGAGCACAGGCUGUGGACUGGGACUUCUCUUAGUACAGGCUUUACAGCACAUGGCCACGGCCCCUCCUGUGGCCUCCUCACAUCUCAGCCUUUAUAGGAAUCUCUGGCACCAGGCCCAGAGAGGGUCAGAAACACAUGAAGAACAUCAGGGGACAGAAUGUGACAGGAUGGAAGACACAGAAUCCAACGUGACGAUGUUGACAGUCUUCAGAGGCACACAGUGGGAGCCGGCUAGAGAGGCUGCUUCCUCCUGCUUCCUACAACAGCCCUGGAGGCUGGAAGAAGCUUGUGCAGUUACACAGGCAGGCACAGACAUGGGGAGAGAACGCAGCAUGGGCAGAGACAGAUGGCGUCAAGUCAACAUGUGGACACCAGAGCAUGGCGCUGCUUGGCCGCGUGUGGCCUUUACCCCUGACGGUGAGCAUGGCUGAGGUCCUCUCCUUCCCGCACAUGCACAGGUACUCCCCAGCAUCCUCUGCCACCAGGCCGCGGAUCUGCAGCUCACACCUGGCCCCGUCCUGCAUCAGGCUAUGUCUGUCUCCAUCUCGGAGGGUCUCAUGCCCCUUCCACCACUCCACAGGGGCCACCUUGCUCAGCUCACACCGCAGUGUGGCCGUUGCCCCUUCUGUGGCCUCUUCGUUCCUCAGACCCUCUGUGAACUUGAUGGGUAGCGCUGGAGGAGGAUCAGAAUAUAUGAACACAAUCUUGCUCUCUGAGCACAUGGAAGAUACAGAACAUGGAUGGCAAAGAGAAGACACAGAACCCAUUUGGACACAGGCCACAUGUGGGGUGUGCUGAGCACAGGCUGUGGACUGGGGCUUCCCAUGCUCCAGCCUGUCAGCACUGUAGCUGUGACUCCUUCCAUGGCCUCCUGAGUCCUCACACUUUAUGUAACUCCGGCUGCCAGAGCCAGAGUAUGUCAGACACACACAAGGACCAUGAGAGCCUCUGGAGCACUCUGGGGGGAAGGACAGGACAGCGUGAAGGGCAAGGUACAGAAGCCAACAGGACAACAUGAUGGAGCCCAUCCUUGUAGGCACAUGGGGUGGAAGCUGGCUGCAAGGCUGGUUUCUCCUGGUUCCCACAACAGCUCUGGAGGCUGGAGGAGACCCUGCAGAGUGAUGGGAACAGGGUGGUGCAGAUGCAGGGAGAGCACAUGGUGUGAGUACAGACAGACGGCAUGACAUCAAUACAUGGACACCAGAAUAUGGCUCUCCUUGGCCACAUGUGGCCUUUACCCCUGACAGUGAGCAUGGCCGAGGUCCUCUCCUGCCCACACACACACGAGUACUCCCCAGUGUCUACCAUGGACAGGCCACGAAUCUGCAGUUCACAUUUGGUCCCAUCCUGCCUCAGGCUGUAUCUGUCCCCAUCUCUCAGGGUCUCAGACCCCUUCCUCCACUCCACAGGGGCUGCAUUGUUCAGCUCACACUGCAGCAUGACUGUGGUCCCUUCUCUGGCCUCCUGGUUUUUCACAUCUUCUAUGAACCUGGCAGGCAGAGCUGGGAAGGACCAAGCAGUCACUGAGAUCAUCAGACUGUCUGGAAGACUCUGUGGACGGGACAUGGACACCCACAAGGAGCCACACAAACCACCAAAGGACCACACGUGAAGAAGCAAAUAAACAUUCACAUGAGGAGGAAGCAAAUGGCCUGGGAAGAACAGAGAACACAAAGGGAUCAGCAUGAGCAUGAGGACACCCCCUGGACAAGAAGGGUAGGUGGGAGACAACCGGAGGACCUCACUUGGAGAAGAGACAACCCCAGGAUUGCCACAGGGGCUGUGCCACAUUGGAAGAUGAGAAUGACAUGGUGACAUGUAGAUACCAAGCCACGGGUCCACAAGGCCACACAUGAUCUUUACCCCUGAUGGUGAGCGUGGCUGAGGUCCUCUCCUGCCCACACACACACAAGUACUCCCCGGCAUCCGCCAUGGCCAGGCCACAGAUUUGCAGCUCACACCUGGUCCCCUCCUGCCUCAGGAUGUAUCUGUCCCCAUCUCUGAGGUUCUUGGGCCCCUUCCUCCACUCCACAGGGGCCACUUUGCUCAGUUCACACCACAACAUGGCUGUGGCCCCUUCCACAGCCUCUUCAUUCCUCAGACCCUCUGUGAACUUGGCCAGCAGGGCUGGGGGAUCAGAAAGAGAUGGCCACAAUCACACCCUCUGAGCCCACAGAAGAGACAGGACAUGGACAACACAGAGAAGACAGGGAAGCCAUCUGAACAUGGGCCACUCCUGGGGUGUGCUGAGUACAAGGUGUGCACUGCGGCUUCCCACGGUCCAGCCCGUUAGCAUCACGGUGUGGCCCCUUCUGAGGUGUCCUCAGGCCUCAUACUUUCUAUGAACCUGGCUUGUAGGGCUGGAGAGGACACAAAGACCAUGAGGCCCUCU